rnacentral:lncRNA from 1 species
CUCUACUAGCACUUACACUCCAUCAGUCACCGAUAACAGCCCUGGGGAAAAGGGAUUAUCACUCCCAUUUGAUAGAAUGAUAGAAUGAUAGAGGAAGUUGAACCAAAGAGAAGCCAAACAGCUUGCUGGUCACAAAGCUUGUGAAUUGCUGAGCAGAGAUUGGGACCUUGGUGUGUUAACCAUGUCAUUCUGGUGCUUUGACAUCUGUGGCUUCGCUGACCCUGGACAGACUCACAAUGCCAGGCCCGGCCAAUUCCUAGGGGUAGUGAACCAUUCCUCGAGAGCAUGGCUUUCCUCUGCAAACUAACCAGCCCAGAGCUCACAUCCACCACGUCUUCUCUCCAGCUCACUCACAACGGCCACUCUCCCCCUGCCCUGAUCAUACCAGGGCCAGGCAAUGACAACUAGGGACGACCCCUGUGCCGCAGAACCCCCUGAAACUGUUCCAGCUAGUCAAUCCUAAGCCUGCUUACCCUGCCUCACCCGUUCCUUCCUGCAAAAGUGAUAAUAAAGGCUCUUGCCCACAUUUUCCCAUCUAUCCUUCUGCCUCUCAACUGGCCCUGGUGCAUUCUGUGUGGUCCUUUGGGGUGUGGCGUACCCUCUCCUCUUGAGACCUAUGAGUCACAAACACGCUUUCCAAUGGAAAUUAGCCCUGAUGCGCUAGUCCCACCGUACCUGAACAGCAAGGACAAAACCUACAUUUUCAGAUACCGGUAAUAGCUAAUUCCCAAGACAUCAGCACAACCACCUCACCACAGUUCCUUUGCCAGGGCAGUGCCCGAGCACUCUGCCUCUGAGUGGGGCGUGAAUGGCUUCCUGUGUCCCUGGCUUGUCUCCGCUUGGAUGGCUGUGUGCCCUGAGCCUGCCCACAGUGCCCAUCCCGGGGGUUUAUCUGACUAAUAUCUGUCCUUUCCAUAGACCAUGACUCCAUGAGGGUGAACCAGGACUGUUCUGCUCGCCUUGUGUCUGCACACAGUAGGUGCUUAACAAACAUCUGGGGUGUCUUCAAGUCCAUUCCCUCAUCUGACCCUCGCAGCAGCCCUCGGAGGUAGGCAGGUAUGGGCUCUCCGACCCAUAUCAUAAAGAGGAAAGAAGGGGCCUAGCAAAGUGAGGAGGCCGCCUCAUGGCCACAUGGUGGGUCAGAGGCAGAGCAAGAGCUGGAAUCAAGGCCUGAGCCCCCAAAGCUGGCCAAUAUUUUCUGGCGACUGUGUCUCAUGGUUUGUGUUGCAGUCUGCACACUAGAGGAGACAGGUCUGCACUCGGCCAUUCUGAAGACGGUAAAGGUGAGAGGUCAGUCUGGUCUGGGGAGGGGACAGGACAGCAGGCUAACCAGCUAACCAGGCUAACAGCUGGGCACCUGUGUCAUGAUGCCCCUCAGACCUUUGAAAUAACAUUAAAAAAGAAGACUUG